rnacentral:rRNA from 1 species
CCUACGGGUGGCUGCAGUAAGGAAUAUUGGUCAAUGCCCGCAAGGGUGAACCAGCCAUUCCGCGUGGAGGAUGAAGGCCCUAUGGGUUGUAAACUUCUUUUAGAUGGGAAGAAAAUGCUAGAUGUAUCUGGUACUGACGGUACCAUCAGAAUAAGCACCGGCUAACUCCGUGCCAGCAGCCGCGGUAAUACGGAGGGUGCGAGCGUUAUCCGGAAUUACUGGGUUUAAAGGGUGCGUAGGCGGAUGAUUAAGUCUAAGGUGAAAGUUUGUCGCUU